rnacentral:rRNA from 1 species
UACGUAGGUGGCAAGCGUUGUCCGGAAUUAUUGGGCGUAAAGCGCGAGCAGGCGGCUCGACAAGUUCGAUGUGAAAGCGCCCGGCUCAACCGGGCGAGGCCAUUGGAAACUAUCGAGCUGGAGGGCAGUAGAGGCAGGCGGAAUUCCGGGUGGAGUGGUGAAAUGCGUAGAGAUCCGGAGGAACACCAGAGGCGAAGGCGGCCUGCUGGGCUGCACCUGACGCUGAGCCGCGAAAGCCAGGGGAGCGAACGGG